UCCUCCUACCUUGGCCUCCCAAAAUGUAGGGAUUACAGGCAUGAGCCACUGCGCCCAGCCCAAAUAUGUAAUUUCUCAAUGAGGUCAAUGAACAGUUGAAACAUGAUUAACUGGUUGGGCUCCAUGGCUCACACUUGUAGUCCUAGCACUUCGGGAGGCCAAGGCAGGAGGACUGCUUGAGGCCAGGAGUUUGGGACCAGCCUGGACAACAUAGUAAGACCCGUCUCUACAAAAAUAAAAAAAUUCCACACACAAAAACUACAGCAACAAUAGAGAAAUAUGAUGAGCCCCAGCUCAACAGGGCAAGUCAGCAAUGGAAGAGACCAAAGCCUUGGGGAGCCUGGAUGGAGACAGCAAGAGAAGGCUCCGGGUCCCUGAUGGACAACGGCUGCACCUGAGCCAGGUGUGCUCAGACAGGCCUUCAGAGAAAAGACUGAGGUUCCCUAAGAAGGAAGGAAUUCUGCCUCCACACUGCCUUUGAAUUGGGACUCACGCCGCACCGCCAGCAGCAUCUCUUGCUAGAAUUUCCAGACUGCCCUGCAAAUUUCAGACUUGCCAGUCUCGAUUCUUAAAAUAAAUCUCUCCCUCUCUCAC